AAACUCCGUUUAAAAAAAGCGAAAACACCGGUUAAACAUAGCGAGAACACCUGGUAAACGCCUGUUAGCAGGCUUCUAGUUUUCAUCACACCUUUCUACGGUGGCCAAGAGUUCUCGUCGACCCCUCCAAACAUUUUGCCAAUUUACACAGGGAUCCCUAAGCAGGACCUGUUAUCCGACAUUGCCAUGUGUGGCAGCAACAUUGCGAAGAGGACAGGUAUUUUGGAGCUAUUUCCUCGGUAACUAUUAGUAAUUUCCUCCGGAAAGCAUCCAAGAAAUAUGUAAAGGAAGAUAGUGUGCACUGGGACAAGAGGACAUAAAGCCCUAUCUUGGGUAAAUUAAUGUGAGGUGUUUCUCCAAAGAAACCAUGACGAUUUCUUGGCAAGUUUCAAUGGGUAAUUUGGAAUAGGCUUCUUUAAAGGAGCUGAAAAUCAGUGGGAAGUGGAAUGGACAUCAUUUAAUUUUUUCAGUGGGAUGAUAGCACCCCGAGUCUUGCUGAGUGAAGAUCCAAAGGACCAUGUUAUCUAAAAUAUGGACACUUUUUGUUGAGAGUAUGUCUAUGAGUCACUAUUCAUUUGAGAGGGCUGUGCCACAGAAAGCAUGAUGAUAAAGUAUUAUGUUAGUAGGAAGAAUUGGAACAUGCCCCUUCUGUGUAAGGUUUUUGUAAAUUUAUAUUAAAGUAUAAAUUGCAAGUAUUUAUAAACAAAGAAUUAAUCCUACAAUUUACAAGCAGUUGCUCUUAGAACCAACAAUUGAAAUUCUUGGUGAGGAAAUAAGCAUACCCCCACUAUACAUGAUAUAGUGCUUACCAACUCAUAAGAACCCCUAUUUUUGUUAUUAAGCCUGACCUCAAGGUGUUUUAUGCAGGUUUUUCAAAAAGGUUCGUAUUGAUAUUAUUCACUUGUGUAACAGGGUGUGUAUAUUAAUUGAAAGGUUAUUCCUCAUGUAAUGAAAAUCAACAAAGUGUUCCCAAAUUAUUAAUAGCUCAAGUAUAUAUUCAAGUAUUAUGAUUUGUUUGUGUGGGUUUUUUUUUAUUUUUUCAAGUUUUUUUUUUAGGUUUAGGUAGGGGUAGGGUUUUCUACAAGAACCUGGGUUGAAAUACAUAUUUUUAGGUAACAUGUUCUAACAUGUUCUUAAACUCUUGUAAUGUUGUUAAGUACUAUAUGUGUUAUUGAAAGUUGAAUGUGUUACCUGUAAAGCUGUAGGUAUAAGGCAUAUGGCUGGUGUUAAAUUACGCGAUUUGUUGAAACAUUUACAUGUAAAGGGGGUGUCGAAGAUACUGACAGAGGCUGUGGUGUUGAAUGUAUGUAUACUUAUUUAUUUUUACUUAUUUAAGAUUUUUAAAUGUUUUUAAAUUAUUUGAAUUUAAAAAUUAUAUUAUUUUGGGGAGACAUGGAGUGAUAUAAAUAGAUGUUGAGUCACUUUAACUGGCUAUACCAAAAUGGGAUGGUUCUUGAGAUCUUCUGUCAUUGAAAUGUUUGUUGUUUUCAAAUUCUAAAAGACAAGAGAAAACAGUUGAUCAGCAUGAAGUCAUUUUUUUAAGAGGACCUGUAUAACCUAGAAAAUACAUGUGUAACCUACGUAACCUAUGUAUGCUCUUCUGUUUUACCGGACAACAAUCAUACAAACCCAGGCCUGUAUAACCUAGAAAAUACAUCUGUAACCUAUGUAACCUAUGUAUGCUCUUCUGUUUUACCGGACAACAAUCAUACAAACCCAGGCCUGUAUAACCUAGAAAAUACAUGUGUAACCUACGUAACCUAUGUAUGCUCUUCUGUUUUACCAGACAACAAUCAUACAAACCCAGGGCUGUAUAACCUAGAAAAUACAUCUGUAACCUACGUAACCUAUGUAUGCUCUUCUGUUUUACCGGACAACAAUCAUACAAACCCAGGCCUGUAUAACCUAGAAAAUACAUGUGUAACCUACGUAACCUAUGUAUGCUCUUCUGUUUUACCAGACAACAAUCAUACAAACCCAGGGCUGUAUAACCUAGAAAAUACAUCUGUAACCUACGUAACCUAUGUAUGCUCUUCUGUUUUACCAGACAACAAUCAUACAAACCCAGGCCUGUAUAACCUAGAAAAUACAUCUGUAACCUACGUAACCUAUGUAUGCUCUUCUGUUUUACCGGACAACAAUCAUACAAACCCAGGCCUGUAGCCAGGGGGGUGACUGGAAGGUUCACUCCAUUCUCAAAUAGAGAAUGGUCCUCAUAAUAAACUUAUCCCUCCCAAUGAAAAUUCUGGUACAAACUCUACAGUUAGAAUAAAGUUAUUUUUUUAUUGUGUGCAUGUGUAUGUGUAUACGGAUCUGCUUUUUGAAACACCUGUUCUAUGUAAAUCAACCAACGAAAUAUGCCAGAAAAUGUAGUUAACUAGUUUACUGUUGUUUAUGAGUCUGUUUUAGGACAGAAAAUAUGUUGUCAAUCAAUCAUAGGUCAUUUAUAUUAUUUAUUUAUUUAUUUAUUUAUUUAUUAAUGAAGCAACUUAAUUAACAUGAAACAUUUAAAAAGUGUAUAAAUAAAAACGAAAGUAGAGUACUUGAGUAAUUAUGAAGAUUCAAAUUAGAAUCCAUAAUGUUAUGUAUAGCAUAAAAAAUUACCCCAAAAGUUCUAACCACAUGUCAUGUAAAUUCAAUGAGCUGUGAACCUUUGCAGCAGGUGUAUAUGUUGACUAUUAUGCUUGCAAUGACGUGCAACGACAUUCUGCACCCGAUGUUUACAGAUACGAGCAAUAUAUAUAUUAAAAUGUGAUGAAUGAGUAAACGCAGCGGCGGUAAUCGCGGGCUCAAAAUCGAGGGUUUAUGAAGAAGAGAUAGAUGUUAUGUUUGUUAGUUUAAGGAAUUGAAAGCAAUUAGAAAUCUUGAACCUACAACCUUCAUUGGUCUUGGUCCUGGUUCAAAGGGAAAGUUAUAUACAGAGUAUCUACAGGGUUUUUCAAAGGUAUAUUGCUAUUUAGUGACCAACAGUAAUUUGAUGAGGAAGUCACGUAUUGUGUUACUGAAUGAAACGGAAAAAUGAAGAGAAAGAAGGAAAGCCCUUUUUUAAGAUUGCUGUGUUAGCUAACAGUAUUUAAAAUGACAGUUAAAGCAGUGAUAUAUUCGUCAGUAUUUUUAUCAUAGAAUGUGUUAUGUAUGAAUGGCUGAUUAUAGUAUUGCGUUGGUGACACUUAUUCUUCAAGUUAUCUAUAAAAUGUAAUGAGGACAUUGAUCUUUACAUUUAUUUAUUUAUUUAUUUAUUUAUUUAUUUAGGAAAUCUACAUAUGUGUAUGGUUAUUGUGUGUUAUGUUAUUCGUAAAGUAGGACGCUCACCUGUAAAUAGAUGGAUGAUAAAUUUCCAUACCCAAAUUAUUAAAGCACUUUUAUAGUUACUUGGACAUGGAAACUGUAAGAAAAAAAACAGUGAGUUAGUUGCUUAAAAUGAAUGAAAAUGGUUUAAAACAUUGAAAAUGCACUGGCUGGUGUUCAAUGUCAUAUAUUCAGUGAUAAAGAGAUUUUGUAAUUAAUGAGAACCCUAUUUGGGCAAAUGUACAUGAUUGGUUCCCAUUCAUCAUGGUAUUUAUAAAGAGUAAUCGUAACCAUGUAUAUAGACUUGAUAUAAGUUAUAGUCGCCCAACCUUGAGAUUGAAUUAUUCACUGUGUGUGUUUUUGAAUGUUUGUUUUGAAAGAGUAUUCAGUUGUUUUGAAGUCUAGAAGUAUUUGAAUUCUUGAGAAGACCACAGAGACCUCCAGCAUAAGUUAAGGUUAUUUUAAAUUUUUUGCAUUGAUGUAAUAACUUACGUUACUUUUCCAUAUGGUUGGUAUGUCAUUUUUAUCAUGUAAGGUUAGGCUCUUUUUGUGUAUGUGUUAAAUAUUGCAUAUAAGCUUGUUGAAAAUUUACAGGUUGAUUGAAUGGAACCUUUAUGAUUAUAGUUUUAUUUUAUAUUUGAUAUCUACUUUCAGUGUAUAUUGUUUUAGCAAGAGUUUGUCAAUAUGAAAGUUCUACAGUAUCCAAAUAUUAUCAUCCCACAUGCAAGGUAUGCAAUAUAAUCAUGGACCCUUCAUAAUUCAUGUUAUAGAUAUUUUGGUAGCUGUUUGCAUUUGUUAUGCAACUGCAGAUCCAUUAAAUGUAAUUAAGGAAAAAUCAACAGAAGAUAGAAAAUUCUUAGUAAGUUGUGUGUGUUGGGGUUGAUGAAUUGCAUAGCAUUUGAAUAUGGAAUAAUAUUAUAUUAUCUUUUGUCACAUAUUGAUAUCAUUGUCAGAUUCAAGGUAGAUGGGGGACGAUGGAUGGUGCCCCUCCCUUCCCUUUUCCUUUAUGAGAAAUACUGAAUUUUAUGCACUAGCAAUUUGAAACACCCACCCCAUGGUCCCAUGGAGGUCUGUGGUUAAUGUGAAGGUUUAGAGCAAUCUAGAACAAAAAUCUGUCUGUAGGGGGUGGGGGAAUUGACAGCUUUGGACUUUUCCAUACCGUAGGGACAAAUAAAUAACAUUAGAAAUUUAAAUGUACUUUGCAAUAGUCAUGUAGCAAACAAGAGCAAAAUGUGAAUAAAGAAAUAUGAAUAUGCCAUAUAGA